UACGGAGGGGGCCAGCGUUGCUCGGAAUUACUGGGCGUAAAGGGCUUGUAGGCGGUCUGAUAAGUCCUGUGUGAAUCCCUUGGCUUAACCAAGGAACUGCGCCGGAUACUGUCAGACUAGAGUUUGGUAGGGGUUGCGGGAAUUCCCAGUGUAGCGGUGAAAUGCGUAGAUAUUGGGAAGAACACCGGUGGCGAAAGCGCGCGACUGGACCUGAACUGACACUGAGGGACGAAAGCUAGGGGAGCGAAAGGG
rnacentral:rRNA from 1 species